rnacentral:rRNA from 1 species
AUGGCCCAGCCUAACAAGCCACGAGACAAAACCCUAUGCGCGCCACUGUGCCGCGCCACGCCACCACAACUCGACGAAUUCUUGCACAAAUCGACGUUACUACAAAGCAGCAGAAUUACAUACAGGGAGCGAGCGACUAAUCAGUCCGAUUACUACAUCAUCAGCCAUGCGAUGCGACGAGUCUCAGAGCAAGAGGCAGCAGCACAGCAGCGCGGAGGCCGACGGCCAGAGGGCGCCGCCCCUCGCGAUCGCUCCGCCGGGGGAAGCGCCGGAGCCGCCGUCGCCUCCGCAGACGUCCACGCCGACCUCCUUCAUGGCGGCCCGGUCAUCCACGCACAGCCCCGGGUUGCCGCUCAGGUCGAGGUUCCGGCCGAGCCGCCGGAGGAACGCGCCGUCGAACGGCACGGCGCCGUCCAGCCCGUUCUUGCUCAGGUUCAGGUGGUACAUGCGCUUCAGCCGGCUCAGCCCCGCCGGGAUCCUGCCCGUCAGGUUGUUGUUCUGCAGCGACAGCGUCGUCAGGCUCGUCAGCCGCCCGAACGUCUCCGGAAUAGACCCCGAGUAGCCGGAGUUGGCCAGCCUCAGCUCCUGCAGCCGCGCGAUGCCGCCCAGCUCGGGCGGCAGCGGCACGCCCAUCGGGUUGUUCUCCAUGAUCAGGUACUGCAGGUCCCGGAGGCCGGCGAGGCCCGCGGGCAGGCGGCCGCUCAAGCCGUUGUUGCUCAGCGCCAGGAAGGUGAGGGAUCUGAGGCCGGAGAAGGUGGCCGGGACGCCGCCGGUGAGGUUGUUGGAGCUCAGGUCCAGCUUCUGCAGCUGCGCCAGCCGGCCGAGCUUGCUCGGGAUGGGGCCCGAGAAGGAGUUGUAGCUGAGGUCGAGGCCCUGGAGGCUCCGGAGGUCGCCGAUCCGCGCCGGGAUGGGGCCCGUGAGCGAGUUGUAGCUGAGGUCGAGGUGGACGAGGCCGGUGAGCUCGCCGAUGCCCCGCGGGACCUCGCCGCGGAUGAGCGGGUUCUGAGAGACGGUGAGCACCUGUAG